rnacentral:lncRNA from 1 species
AUGGUGGAAUUAAUGAUGGGUCGGGCGUUGCAGUGGGCACAAGCAGUUUUGAAUGUUCAACAUAACAUCUCUUAUCAGGAUUUCUUGAGCAAAUUCCAUUGUGUUUUUGACAAGGGGUCAAACCCGGACUGUGCGGCUAAUCGUUUUUUUACCCUGAAGCAGGGACGGAGGAGUGUGGUGGAUCUCUCUGUGGAUUUCUGGAUCCUGGCCGAGGAGGCGGCAUGGGCGGAGAUUGGGCUUCGGGGAGGCUUCCUGAACUGUCUGAAUGAAAAAAUUAAACAGUUUGGGAGACGAUCUGGAGAGGGACGGCGGGUGGCAGGGGGCGCUAGCGCUCUGAUGGGAUUACCUUCUGCUGAGUGGAGAGAAGAAGAUGAUAAAGAGCCAGUGGAGGAGGAGGAGCAGCCGAUGCAACUUGGAUGGGCACGGUUCAGUGCCGCUAGCUGGAGAAGACUGUGCACGGGUCUUGAUGGAAUGACCUUCGCCAGGUGUUGCGGGGACGUCCUCGUGGUCUUUUAA